GAACCUACAAACGAACGAACCGAAAAUUAAGAAAGUAAAGAUAAGUUUAGGUGCCACAAUUCUUACACGAGUAUUUAAUUUUAAUUUAUUGCAGUUAAAUUAGCACUACUUAAACGCUUCAAUGGAUAUCGACCUCUCAAGUACAAUUUUACAGUUGAUGCCUGCCGUUAUCUGAGAAGCGUUUAUAUCGGUUCAACAGAUCUUAUCAUUAAAUACUUUUAUCAAUUUCUGGAAACUACUAUAAACAUGAAUCACACGUGUCCUUAUGACAUGAGUACCUUUUAAGAUGAUGUGGACUUAAAUUGUUUUCAAUACUCUGUCACUUUCAGCACGAUCUUGAAAUGGUCCUUCCUAUUAGUACAGUGGAUAACCAAUUUACUAAAGUCAUUCCAUUUCCCGGGGGCGAUUAUAUGGUGGAAACACAAUGGUUUGCAUAUGACAUACGGCGCGCAUAAAAAUGUUUUUUUUUGCGUCUUCAAUGGGUUUUAUGAAUCUUUAAUAUUUAAUAAUAGAACAACAAUCAAAUUGGGGCAAGAAAAAUAUCUUAUAUCAUAGAAGUUUUCUAUUGAUAAAUUUUUGAUUUUUUAAUUUUUCAUUUAACAUACUAGCCGAUGGUAUUACCAUCAGUAGGGUAACACUAAUGAUUCGGAAUAAAAUUCCGAUUCUUCAAUAAAAUGCCAAUUAACUUAAUUAAUGUUCCAGCGGAAAAUUACAUCCACAGCGUGUAGUGGCAUUCCUAAACAGAAUAUUUAAAUACUUUACUUAGUGCAAGAAAGAUGUGGAAUCUGGCGUGUCUAUUUAAAACAGUUAUUUUCCUAUAUAUGAUCCAGGAGAUCUCAUCAAAUUUCGAAUUUACAAACUUGAAGUGUACAAGUGACGAUAAGAAGUUUGCAGAAUUCGAAUUAUGUCAAUUAAAGUCUAUAAAUCGAACCUACAAAUAUGCUCAUGUAAAAGUGAAGUUGUACCAAACGCCAAUUACAAAAAUAAAGGUAAGUGCCACAAUUCUUACACGAGUAUUUAAUUAUAAUUUAUUGUAGUUAAAUUUGGCUCUACUUAAACGCUUCAAUGGAUAUCGACCUUUCAUGUACAAUAUUACAUUUGAUGCCUGCCGUUUUCUGAGGAGCGUUUAUAGCUCCUCAAAGGAUCUUACCAUUAAAUACUUUUAUCAAUUUAUAGAGACUACUUCUAACAUGAAUCACACGUGUCCUUAUGACCACGAUCUUGAAAUGGUUCUUCCUAUUAGUGCAGUGAAUAACCAAUUUACUAAAGUCCUUCCAUUUCCCGGGGGCGAUUAUAUGUUGGAAACACAAUGGUUUGCAUAUGAUAAAAGGCGUGCAAUAAUGCAAUUUUUUGGCACUAUUUCAUACAUUUAAAUACAUUUUGAUUUUUAUUGCGUCUUCAAGAGGUUUUAUAAAUCGUAUAUGUAUAAAAUAUGAAUCGUAUAUAGUUUAUUUUUAUUAAAAUAAUAUUACAUAUAAAUUAAAAUUUUGAGUUGUCUAACUUGAAAUGUACUUCAAUGUAAUUGAAAUGAAUUUAAGACCUCCAAUUAAAGUUUGUAAGUCGAACGUAGUUUUAUUAAAGUCAAGUUUUACCCAACUCCAGUUAUAAAAAUAAAUGUAAGUUUACGUUCGAAAAUAAUGAUAUAAUGAUAAGUGCUUUUUCUAGUUAAAUUUGGCAUUAGUAAAGGCAUUUGUCAUUUAAAAGCAUUUGUCAUUUUCAGAUCGAUUUUGAAAUCAAAUUCCCAUUAGCUUGAUAAAUAACCAUUAACCAAAUAACUUCCAUGUGCCGAUUUUUGCCGAGAAUUUAUGAUUCAAACAAUAUGGUUUGCCUACGAUACAAGAUUCAUAAUAUUAUAUAUUUCUCAAAUUUAAGAAAUUAAAUAAACAAUCUUCGACAAAUGGUAGUAUUUGAGUUUGGUGUAUUUUAAAACUCGUUUAAAUACUUUUGUCAGCCUGUUUUCGACUGUGCUUAAUUACGAGUAUGGCCGAGCUUAUUAAGCGAUUAAAAACGCAACCGGAGGCCAAAUGGCGGCUUUGGCUUGGUGGCUCAGCCGUUAUCUGCCCCUUGGUAUCGUCGGCGUCUUGCCACCGCCCCUGUUAUGCCAGCCCCCUGCUGCAGCAGCCUCCUCCUGCGAUUUACAUGCAACUCUCACGCUUGACAGCACGCUAAUCAGAAUCAAGUGAUGUUCGUUUUGCUGCAUUCACAUCUCUGACGCAGGAGGUGGUGCACCCUUACCCUCGGAUCUUGCAUUUUGCCCCCAGAGUGUAUACUUGGGGCACUUGGCAAUUCAAGCACGUCUUCAUUAUUUGUUGUUGUUGUCGUUGUUGCUGUUGUUGCCGCUCUGGUUGCACUCGGAGAUGCGCAAAUCUCAUUAAGUGAUAUCUUCAAGUGGCCGUUAGCUCAUGAGCAAAUAUGAGAAACGAGCGGCAAGUCUGCCAGGAAUUUUUGAAUUUGUAGCUUUCCAUUUUUGUUAUUUUUUUAUUUUUUUUUUUUUUGCGCAUAUGCCAAAGAUACAAAGAUACUUUGGCUUUUGUUGCGCAUCUUUUAUCAGCAAUGGACCAUUUGGCGCUUUUGUUAUUAAAUUGGAUUGAAGAGAAGCUUGCGAUGGAGCAAUGGAGUAGGAUGUCGACCACAACGUUUGGAUCCCCAAAUAUUUACAGCUUUAACACACAAAGUUGUAAACGAAAAAUUUCCAUUUUUAACGCCCAUUUUCAUUUCCAAUUCGUAAGAGCAUGUCAAGUUGGGGACAAAUGCGCCUAAUUAGCAGCCGAGACGUCUCAGCGAUUUUCACAAGUUCACAAAUAUGAAAUGUAUCUAACAGAUACUAUGCUCGGGUAAACAAAUUGCAGCCGCCGCAGUUCGUUGUGUUUUCCUUUUUAUGUCUUAUUUGCUUAGGCAGUGCCCACAUUUUCCCACGCACUACCAACUACCAACUAGCAACUGCCGCCGUCGCCGCUUUUAUGAUACUUUUCUCAAACACAUUUUGUUUUCGUUUUCUCGGCUGUUACCUUGUCAUUUCAGAUACAUUGAGGAGAGCAUCCAACGGAUGCAGUUGGAUAUGUAUUCAUAUUAUAUAUUUGUUCUGCGGCUUCUGGCCUUUCUUCUUUCAAGUUUCGGACGAAAAGGUGGUCAAAUAUCCAAGUCGAGGGAGGGGCAACCUUGCUGAUAAGGCGAUAAGGUGGUGGUAGAAUUUUGGAAAAUGUAUCUCAACCAUCAAGGGGCGUUCUGCUACCGUGAGAGGUGCAUCUGAGUUUGCUCAGCUUUUAUUUCUGUUUAGCAAGUGCACUCUGAAAUUAGUUUGAGUUAUUUACAAAUCUGGGGUAAUCCUAAUUCUGGGGUAAUUUAAGGCCUCUAUAUGAUACUAAGAAGGGUCAAUUAUAGUCUUUAAACACAAAAAUUUCCUGUUUGAAUCCUUAACUUUAUUUUUCCUCAGUGUUACUCUUAUUUAAGUUUGGUUGGUUUUGGUAACAAGAUAAACAUCUCGGCCUGACUACUUAGCUUUGGUCAGGGAUCAAUGGGAAUGAACAAACCUAUUGGUAACUUAUCAGAGAAGCCCAUGAAGCAUCCGCACAUGGCGACCUCUUCAGAAUCAUGGACGCUCAUUGUUGGCCCGAUUCGCUUUUUAAGCUUUCCCUUUCGAUUUAAGCCGCCUCUUGGCCAACUCGUCGGCAACUGCCCGCCUUUCUGCCACUUCAUCCGGAGACCAUUCUCUGUUAUCAUUUCAUUUGGUGAUGCCCCUCCACAUCGACUUCCACAUCCAUUUCCCACUUCCACUUCCCACUAACAUUUUCAUUUUCUUGUUUUUUUCAAUUUCCAAGUCAAUUUAUUUUUACAGCGACCGUGCCGCACUCGAGCCAAGUGUCAGGGGAGGAGUGGGCGAUCGGGUGCAGUACAUCCGACCCCAAAAAGGACACGUAUUCCCAGUGCCUUUGUCCAUUGACCAGGCUGGGAGGAGGGGGAACUCGAUAGGCGUCAACCGUUUGGGCGGCAUAGGCGAAAGGGGCGUGCCAAUGGGGCACGCAAUGAAGAGCGACAGUUUAAGUGGCGUAGAAGAGCUGAGCACUGUAGAGCCCUGCAUCAUUCUGGGCUACAUCCUGGCCUGGCGGUUAUACGGCACCUCCAUCCUCCAUCCCGGCAACAACGAACAAUCAAUGCUAUGCGAUGUCAGCUGGAUAUGUGUCCCUGACAUUUGAUGAUUGUCAUUCGGUGGCCCUGAAUCAGUUGCUGGCCAAAAAUUACA